rnacentral:rRNA from 1 species
UACAGAGGUCCCAAGCGUUUGUUCGGAUUCACUGGGCGUAAAGGGUGCGUAGGUGGUGAGGUAAGUCCGAUGUGAAAGCUCCGAGCUCAACUCGGAAAUUGCAUUAGAAACUACCUUGCUAGAGGGUUGGAGGGGGGGACUGGAAUUCUCGGUGUAGCAGUGAAAUGCGUAGAUAUCGAGAGGAACACCAGUGGCGAAGGCGAGUCCCUGGACAACUCCUGACACUGAGGCACGAAAGCUAGGGGAGCAAACAGG